AAUCAACGCUGGCGGCGUGCCUAACACAUGCAAGUCGAACGCGAAAGCCCCGCAAGGGGUAAGUAGAGUGGCAAACGGGUGAGUAACACGUGGGUGACCUGCCUUCGAGUGGGGGAUAACGUCCCGACAGGGACGCUAAUACCGCAUGACAUCCUGCUUUUGAAAAAGCGGAGAUCAAAGCUGGGGAUCGCAAGACCUAGCGCUUGAAGAGGGGCCCGCGGCUGAUUAGCUAGUUGGUAAGGUAACGGCUCACCAAGGCGACGAUCAGUAUCCGGCCUGAGAAGGCUGACCGGCACACUGGGACUGGGACACGGCCCAGUAUCCUACGGGAGGCAGCAGUGGGGAAUUGUUCGCAAUGGGCGCAAGCCUGACGACGCAACGCCGGGUGGAGGACGAAGAGCUUCGGGUCGUAAACUCCUGUCGGGCGGGACGAACGCUUCGCGGAUGAAUAAUCCGCGGAAUUGACGGUACCGCUAAAGGAAGCCCCGGCUAACUCCGUG
rnacentral:rRNA from 1 species